GUCAGUGUGGUGUAGUGGUUUGAGCAAUGGACUACAACUCUGGAGAUCAGGGUUCAAUUUCCUGCUCAACCA